GCCUGGGUGGCUCAGUCGGUUGAGCAUCCGACUUCGGCUCCGGUCAUGAUCUCACGGUUCGUGGGUUCGAGUCCUACAUCUGGCU
rnacentral:tRNA from 1 species